GACGAACGCUGGCGGUGUGCUUAGCACAUGCAAGUCGAACGGAAAGGCCCUGCUUUUGUGGGGUGCUCGAGUGGCGAACGGGUGAGUAACACGUGAGUAACCUGCCCUUGACUUUGGGAUAACUUCAGGAAACUGGGGCUAAUACCGGAUAGGAGCUCCUGCUGCAUGGUGGGGGUUGGAAAGUUUCGGCGGUUGGGGAUGGACUCGCGGCUUAUCAGCUUGUUGGUGGGGUAGUGGCUUACCAAGGCUUUGACGGGUAGCCGGCCUGAGAGGGUGACCGGCCACAUUGGGACUGAGAUACGGCCCAGACUCCUACGGGAGGCAGCAGUGGGGAAUAUUGCACAAUGGGCGGAAGCCUGAUGCAGCAACGCCGCGUGCGGGAUGACGGCCUUCGGGUUGUAAACCGCUUUCGCCUGUGACGAAGCGUGAGUGACGGUAAUGGGUAAAGAAGCACCGGCUAACUACGUG
rnacentral:rRNA from 1 species